AUGUUUUGGCUAGCAAAUGAAGCGCUACCUGGAAUUUAAUUUGCCUGUGCACAUAUUCUGUCUUUCCUAGGUAGGACUUGACCACUCAUGAACAUUUGGACUCCAGAAAUGACUCUCUCCACUUUUUUUUUGAUAUUUAUGACACACAUCCACUUUUUUUGAGGGGGGGGGGGGGGGGGCUCUUCUGAGUAGUGUUUUGUCUAUUUUGGACUAUUAUUUAGUAGCUUGAGGUUGGCUAAUGUGGUUUCUUUCCCGAGAAAGCCCUGAUCUGGAAUCUGCGUGUGCCUAUUCCGUCUUCCUCAAGUCGGCGUUUUCCUAUCUUCUUUGGAGAGCGGACGUCAGGGGAGUGUAGCAAACAGUCCAAUCUUAUUUUAAGCCUGACUGAGAUGAAAUUGCAUGUUUGUUUCCACUGCCGGCCACUCCACUUUCUAAAUGACAUGUUAUUUGCCUGGUUCGGACAAAAAAAGAGAGUCGAGGAAUCUAUGAAAUAUAUACGUCGCCCAUUGUUAUUGGGAAUAUUUAAUCCCAUUGUUUAACAGUUCAGGGUGAAACAACAGGUUUGGGAGCGGCGUUCGCCGCUGGGCGAGGUGCGCGGGUGCCAAAUCUGCACGUAUCGGGUUUGCAGAAACGAAAGAGGCUCAAAAUUUAUUUAUUUUUUUUAAAAAAGAGAGCACCCACGCGGUGCAUUGUCAGAAAUCUUCAGGAAAAAGCUUCCUUCAAAAUAGCUCAUCGCUACAUGGCGUAAAGCUGUGGUGGUAAACGCUAAGCACUUGCAACUCACUGACCUUUUUUUUUUUCUCCAAGUUUUCAUUCACCAGAUGCACACUUCAAACAUCCCCACCCCACCCCACCCUGCAUGUGUGCGUUUGCAUGCACGCGUGCGUUAAUGUUUCAGCACGUCGACUUGCGGAGGGGGGGGAAUCGCAUCGCCAGGGGCCAUUCCAGGCACGAUUGGACGACUUUGGCGUGGCCCUUUCAGUCGGAGACGUUUCUCUCUUAUUUCCCGUCCUGAUCACAAGACGGCUCCCGUGCAGAGGAGGAAGAGAACGGGAGCUUUUUCUUUGCAUGGGCUCAGUGCCCGUCUGACCUUUUUGACUUUUCUCCUUCCUCGUGUUUAGUUCCCGAACGCUUCCUUCCCUGCCCGAGAGAUACCGGUGUCGCUUCCAAGACGUUUUGGGCGGUCACAAUUAUACGCCCGUAAACAAGCGAGGGGUAGCCGGAGAGCAACCAUGUUGUAAGGCUUUGCAGGCUCGGAUUUGACGCGGCCAGAGUCACCGCUGGGGAAGUCUCCGGCUCGCCCGGGUUUGAAACCAAGGUCACGUUUUGACACACGAGCGCCGCGGGCUUGUUAAUAAUUGACCAGUUUGACGUUUGAGCUGUUGCGGGAGGGGGGGGGGGGGGGGAGGCGGACUUUGCAUAGGCAAUCAUUAAUGGCAGCCUUCCUCAGGAAUUUGAGCACCUUCCUCAUGGACACUGUCCGCCAGUUCCUCAUAUUCAUAUACACGACAGUAAUGAGGCAGAUGACUUUUCAGCCAUUUAUUGAACGCCGGGAGAACAGUCAAAACUCAAAACAAGGAGCAGGAGCUGCUGUCGGCCACAGCUCACGCCCAGACGCUCACAAGGAGCCUCGUAGACUUCACACGGCACCGCAACGGUUUAUCAGUUUAUUUUUGAAAGGGGACAAUGCAAUUUCAUAAAACACAUGAAGUACACAUGGUUAAAAAAGCCAGAAUUAGCCACAAGGCUAGUUUUCAUCUGUAGUCCCCUGGCCAUGAUGUAAAAAAGCAGUAGUUGUUUUUUUUCUUCGCGUACAAUACGCUUACAAUGUGUUUAAAAUGUAUAUUUUUAGGGUACGUCUGUUUUUCUAUGUUAAAAAGCGCGAGGGAUAAAACAAAAAAAAAAAAAAAAAAUCGCUAUUGCGGAUUUUCACCGAUUGUGGGUGGGUGGACCUGGAACGGAUUGUUCUGCCUGUCACUAUACGUCGCUGGCAUAGAUAGCUCAACAACGUAGUAUCUAUUUACUACAAUUUGUAGUAAAUAGAUAAUAUAUAACAAUUUAAAAAAUACAAUAAUAAUUUUCGGACCAAUUAAGUGAAAUUGGAUCAUUUCCUGCUGCGGAGUAGUGGUUGGGAAACGGCAGUCUAAAUCACCUGCGAGCUGACAACGGCUUUCGCGCCGCUCGGCCCGGUCCGAGGUCGCCAGGCUGUCUUGUCGGCCCCGUGGGCCCGUCCCUCGGCGGGGACAAAGCGCCCGUUCUUUCCGGGGAAAGCCCCCACCCCGGCGGAAUGCUCCACUCGCCUACGGGUGCGGGGCGACAAGGGGAGGGAGGGGUGGAGUGACGGGAGAGGUCGAAAAAGAUUGGGAGAUGGGGGGGGGGGGGGGGUCAUGUUGAGCAGCGCGCGGGAUGGUCAUCAUUGGUUUUCGUCAUUGGGCGAGGCGCAGCGUGAAGACAUCAAGCAAAAAGGUUUCUGCACAAUCUCAUCAGGAUCAUCGUUUGAUUCCUUGCGUCGGUCAGUGUGAGGUCGUCCACUGAUUCCCAACCGCUUCUUGUAAAUGUAAUUCAAGAGUUUAAAAAAAAAAAAAAAAAAGCUCAACUGUCGAAAAAUCCACAACAUAGCAGGACUGUUGAACGCUUUUAACUCCAAACACUCGUAUCUUAAAUCGUCUUCCCUCUUUGAAAUACUGUAAUACUGUACAGUCAUACAGACACAAGCAAACAAAAAUAUGCGGUAAUAGUCAUUUUUGAAAU